ACUCAAAGGAAUUGACGGGGGCCCGCACAAGCGGAGGAGCAUGUGGUUUAAUUCGAUGAUACGCGAGGAACCUUACCAGGGCUUGAAAGACAGGAGACCGGCGCCGAAAGGUGUCUUUUCUUCGGAACUGCUGUCUAGGUGCUGCAUGGCUGUCGUCAGCUCGUGCCGUGAGGUGUCGGGUUAAGUCCCAUAACGAGCGCAACCCCUAUCACUAGUUGCCAACAGGUAAUGCUGGGGACUCUAGUGAAACUGCCCGCGCAAGCGGUGAGGAAGGCGGGGAUGACGUCAAGUCAGCACGGCCCUUACGUCCUGGGCUACACACGUGCUACAAUGGUAGGUACAGAGGGCAGCUACACCGCGAGGUGAUGCAAAUCUCCAAAACCUAUCUCAGUUCGGAUCGAAGUCUGCAACUCGACUUCGUGAAGCUGGAUUCGCUAGUAAUCGCAUAUCAGCAAUGAUGCGGUGAAUACGUUCCCGGGCCUUGCACACACCGCCCGU
rnacentral:rRNA from 1 species